rnacentral:rRNA from 1 species
AUUUAACUCUGGCGGCAUGCCUUACACAUGCAAGUCGAACGGCAGCACGGGUGCUUGCACCUGGUGGCGAGUGGCGAACGGGUGAGUAAUACAUCGGAACAUGUCCUGUAGUGGGGGAUAGCCCGGCGAAAGCCGGAUUAAUACCGCAUACGAUCUACGGAUGAAAGCGGGGGACCUUCGGGCCUCGCGCUAUAGGGUUGGCCGAUGGCUGAUUAGCUAGUUGGUGGGGUAAAGGCCUACCAAGGCGACGAUCAGUAGCUGGUCUGAGAGGACGACCAGCCACACUGGGACUGAGACACGGCCCAGACUCCUACGGGAGGCAGCAGUGGGGAAUUUUGGACAAUGGGCGAAAGCCUGAUCCAGCAAUGCCGCGUGUGUGAAGAAGGCCUUCGGGUUGUAAAGCACUUUUGUCCGGAAAGAAAUCCUUGGCCCUAAUACGGUCGGGGGAUGACGGUACCGGAAGAAUAAGCACCGGCUAACUACGUG